UGGUGGGUAUCAUUAAAGAUACCUAUCAGUUUAAUCUUAUCUUAGAUGGAACAGUCGCCAUACACACAUAAUAACUCAUCAAAACAAGUCGGAUAUGGAAAUGAAUAUUUAAAGGUAAAUAAUUAAUCUUGUUUAAGAAGAAAGGGCGAGGAUUCUGGCGAUUUCUAAAAAAAGUCGAACUGUUUAAAUUGGCAAGAAUUCGGUCGGGAUGAGCUGCAAUUAACCUGCCUAGACAACACACUUCUAUGAAAGAGUGAAUACAAUAAAGAACAUGUAGAUGUAGUCUUAAACAACAUAGAGAAAGACAAAACAUAAAAACUAGCAAAUAUACUGAUAAAUAACGUUCGAUUUAUCACAAUUUUCAAUCAGUUAUUUAACAAGAUCCAUUGAUAGUUUCACCACAUCUAAAAUAUUAUUGUUAUUUUUGAUUUUUAUUAUUCAAAGGCAAUUCCUGUGUGAAUAAAACUGUUUUCAUAGCCAUAAAAGAUUACUAGACGUGUAUAAACGCGAUCCAUCAACAUUUAUAACAACUUUGAAUUCUUUGUUUAAAUGUGGACUCCCAAUUUAUUUCCUCAAAUUCUGAAUUAAUUAUCAGUCAUUUGCAAUGAUCCAUCCCAGUUCCGCCCGAUGCCCCCCGACACCGCUGCUUUAUUGUGAUGUAGUAUUUUUACUUGCUAACAAUACAAUCUAUCUUAAUUUGCCGGAACGAUUGCGUUGAAAAAUAAUUUUAUUUUCUUUAAUGAAUGGGGAAAAUAAAAUUUCAGACAACGCAUAACAUAUUUAUUUCAUUAAAUCACAAUGGAAUGUCCGUAAGUUAGCAGACAGCAAGUCGACCGUACGAAACACUAUAUGUACAUGUAUUUAUCCAAGGGAUACUCGUCCAAGUUUCCAGUCUUCUCUUAUUACAUCUCGAUACAUCAAGAAACGACCAUUUUUUGGUUUUUCGUCCCAUAAAAUUUCUUGGUAUACAAAUUGGAACGCCAAUGAGUGCCGAUGCGGAAGCAAUUUUGUCCAGUUCUCGGCAUUAGAUCUUUUUCUAGGGAUAUUUUUGGUGCAAGUAUAUAGCUACAUGCUGUGACACAUAUCCUCCGUCAUGUCCGAAGGACUGAUCUCCGCGUCCUGCAGCGAAA